GACGAACGCUGGCGGCGUGCUUAACACAUGCAAGUCGAACGGAAAGGCCCUGCUUUUGUGGGGUGCUCGAGUGGCGAACGAGUGAUUAACACGUGAGUAACCUGCCCUUGACUUUGGGAUAACUUCAGGAAACUGGGGCUAAUACCGGAUAGGAGCUCCUGCUGCAUGGUGGGGGUUGGAAAGUUUCGGCGGUUGGGGAUGGACUCGCGGCUUAUCAGCUUGUUGGUGGGGUAGUGGCUUACCAAGGCUUUGACGGGUAGCCGGCCUGAGAGGGUGACCGGCCACAUUGGGACUGAGAUACGGCCCAGACUCCUACGGGAGGCAGCAGUGGGGAAUAUUGCACAAUGGGCGGAAGCCUGAUGCAGCAACGCCGCGUGCGGGAUGACGGCCUUCGGGUUGUAAACCGCUUUCGCCUGUGACGAAGCGUGAGUGACGGUAAUGGGUAAAGAAGCACCGGCUAACUACGUG
rnacentral:rRNA from 1 species